rnacentral:tRNA from 1 species
GGGUCGGUAGAUGAGGUGGUUAGAGCGCACGCCUGAUAAGCGUGAGGUCGGAGGUUCGAGUCCUCCUCGACCCACCA